rnacentral:misc_RNA from 1 species
UUUCCGUAGGUGAACCUGCGGAAGGAUCAUUAAUGUGUAAGGGACGCUCGAGGGCUGCCUCUGACCCGAUUGGUCGUUCGCCCAUCGUUGCUCUCACACACAUGCAUUCCCGCACCAUGUGCAGCACCGCGUGGGUCCCCCUUGGGCGCGUUCGGCGGUGGGCUUACCUUUUCACUCAAACUUUGAAUGCACUUUAGCAUGUAUUUUUUGUUUUUGUGAACACGAAAUUUAUACAACUGUCAACAUCGGUUCUCUUGGCUCUCGCAACGGAGAAGAACG